UCCUCGCCUUCACCCGCUCUGCUCCCGGUUGGCGCCAUGUGGCUUUGGGGCGGAAGUAGCGGAGCCCUGGUUCCGCCCCCUUAAAGGGACAGGGAUAGCUGUAACCUUCGGGGCGUGGGGACGAAGGGUGAAGCGGCGGAGGCGGGGGUGAGUAGCCGGUGCUGGAGCGUUGUUGCCCCGAGAUCAGGUGCCGAGGAGGGAGGGCCUGACAGCUGGUUCCCAGCUUGAUUGUGCCAGACUACUCGCUGCGUUUGGUGCUGCUGGUAUAGCGGAGUGGCUACGCCGGAAAGGUUGACCUCAGCCCCUAGCUGUUGCGCGCGCCUCUCGCCGACCCGCACUCGGACACUGGGAUCCGCCAGGCUGGUCCUCUCUGCAUCCCCAUCCCCCGCCCCACCCCCACUCGCGCGAUCGUACGGUACGGGUGGGGAAGAGGGAGCCCAGGGCGACUGGGUGAAUUCUGGGUGGAGCCGGGGCUGGAACCGGAUGCUGGACUCCAACUUGACAGCUCUAAGUAUCCCAAGUCCUCGAAGUUCCCAGAUUGAUAAUAGUAACGGCAACCGCGUUAAAAGAGAAUCCUUACAAUGGAAUACUGUGCCACCGCUAAAAAAAAAAAAAUGUUCACCAUGCACUAAUAGGGGACCGCUUCCAAGAUACCAUAGACGGAAAAGUGAAGGGACGAAAAAAACAGCGUUGAUCGCUGCUACCGUUUGUGUGAAAGAACGUGAGUGGGGGCGUGGGCGUCUGCCGGUAUGUGUUCAUUCAGUUCAGUUCAAUCGCUCAGUCGUGUCCGACUCUUUGCGACCCC
rnacentral:lncRNA from 1 species